GACGAACGCUGGCGGCGUGCUUAACACAUGCGAGUCGAACGGAAAGGCCCUGCUUUUGUGGGGUGCUCGAGUGGCGAACGGGUGAGUAACACGUGAGUAACCUGCCCUUGACUUUGGGAUAACUUCAGGAAACUGGGGCUAAUACCGGAUAGGAGCUCCUGCUGCUUGGUGGGGGUUGGAAAGUUUCGGCGGUUGGGGAUGGACUCGCGGCUUAUCAGCUUGUUGGUGGGGUAGUGGCUUACCAAGGCUUUGACGGGUAGCCGGCCUGAGAGGGUGACCGGCAUCAUUGGGACUGAGGUACGGCCCAGACUCCUACGGGAGGCAGCAGUGGGGAAUAUUGCACAAUAGGCGGAAGCCUGAUGCAGCAACGCCGCGUGCGGGAUGACGGCCUUCGGGUUGUAAACCGCUUUCGCCUGUGACGAAGCGUGAGUGACGGUAAUGGGUAAAGAAGCACCGGCUAACUACGUG
rnacentral:rRNA from 1 species